rnacentral:rRNA from 1 species
UACGAAGGGGGCUAGCGUUGCUCGGAAUCACUGGGCGUAAAGGGUGCGUAGGCGGACAGGUAAGUCAGUGGUGAAAUCUCUGGGCUUAACUCAGAAACUGCCGUUGAUACUAUUUGUCUUGAAUAUCCUGGAGGUAAGCGGAAUAUGUCAUGUAGCGGUGAAAUGCUUAGAUAUGACAUAGAACACCGAUAGCGAAGGCAGCUUACUACAGGUUCAUUGACGCUGAGGCACGAAAGCGUGGGGAGCAAACAGG